ACACCCCUCAAGCGUAGCUUGGUAUUGGACUUUCGCGAGCCCUUGUACAAGCUCGCGGGUUCGAAAAGCAGUGGCGGUCCCCGAGGAUUUCGCGCGUAGUAAAUUUUAUCCCGCGUUGGAAAGAAUCGAUGGGUCUUGCCAAAACCCCCUAAUCUCCAUAAAUUGACCUCGGAUCAGGUAGGGAUACCCGCUGAACUUAA
rnacentral:misc_RNA from 1 species